UCUGAUGUAGUACAAAAUGUAAUGUAUCAGCCUUUGAGCAUAUUCAAAUUAAUGAGCAUGUAAAGCGAUCAAAAGGACAUGUAGAUAUUUAGAAUACUAAAAUUACAACGCUUGACCGAUUUGCCAAGUUAAGACAGGAAUUAUCAUGCUUUGCUUGUUCGUUUUAAAGUUCCCAGACCUCAGUGAAAGUCCACCUGGGAAUGACAGAGGACAGAAUCAUCAAAAGUGUCCAGGAGCAACUGUCUGAUCAUAAUAUCCUGUCCUCUUGCCCACCUGAGCUGACUGUUGGUCUUAUCAAGGUGGUGGUCGAACAGCUUAACUCUGCCCUCUCUGCGACCAUCAGCAGAGCCAUUUCAGGGCGGUCCUCCCCUAUUUCUUCUGGUACCCAGGCCGCUGAACAAAUGGUCAACAUGGUCCAGAAAUGUUUUGAUGAUCACACCACCCCAGAGGACCAGAGCUCUACCUCUGUAUUAGAGUCAUGCAUUCCACCUGCAACAGAAGAAGUGAUGACUGUUAUCGCAGAGAUGGUGGGUGAAUUGGAAAAAGAAGAUCCGGAAUUGGCUAAGGUUUUUCGAGAAGUGGCUGUGAAAGUUAAAAUGUUGGCAUCUGGCAGUGACCUUGUAGUGGAGCACCUGGAUGUUGAAGACUCUCCUGUUCCAGAGGAGCUGAACAUAAUAUGUACAUCUUGCAAAGCAAUGAUGCAAAAUCUUGGCACUCUGUUUAGUGUGAAGUUCAAGACCAAAGCCUCAAAGGCUGUGAGUGAAAUUCUUGUGAGAAGGUUAAUGAGCGAUAUCUCUGGUAUGGUUCAACCUUCUCAUUCGUUUAGUACCACUCCAAGCUUGAUGAAUGCAUCUAGCCCUUCUGACAGGAUCCUUGAUUCUGCGGCCACUGAGCUCAUACAGAUCAAAGUAGAAUCUGAGACAUCAAAAAUAAUUGAUAACUUUGUUGAAGAUGUCAAGGACAUUGUGCAGUAUGCUGAAUUAGAUCAGCCAACAAGCACCCAGAGAGAUACCCAAGUGGGACACUGUACGACAAAGCGGAAACCCUUCCGUGCAGCUCGUAGACUCUGCGAGAGACUUCAGGCAAAGCUGGAGACAUUGUUCCUCAGAAUGGGUGGAGCUCCAGUCCAAGGGGAAGAACUUAUGGAAAAAGCUGACUCCAGUGCUGUGCUUCUGGAGCAUACUGACUCCAGUGAUCUGCCUGUUUCAAUCCUGAGCUUGCCUUCCCCAUGUAGGAGUGAAUCCCCUAUAUCAGAAUGUAGUUCAUCUUCUUUAUCUGAUGGAUGUGAUUCAACUGGCUCUGUAGGAGAGAAAACACCAGAGCAACCUGAAACCAGUAAGAGUGAGGCAAUACUGCAAGUGGUCAACUCAACAGGACUUGGUUCUCUCCGUAAAUGCCAAAGUGAGAACUCUCAACCAUUACUGUCUCUCUGUGAUUCCAACAUGGUGCCCUGCACCAAAGAGGUCUUGUCCCAGAUUGUGACCAUGUAUAGGUCAGAGGUGGCAGAUUUGGAAUGCACAUCAUCUGUUGCAGAGGGUUCCUCUUCCAACUCCCUUGAAGUCUGUGGCUUUUUGGACAGUGUCAUGUCUUAUCUAGAAGACAUGCCUGUGUCUGGUUCUUCAUGGGUGGAAGGAUUGAGAGAUACUCCAGCCUCAGUCAUUGAGAAACUCUCCAGUGAGGAGUUCCAGAUGAACGCUACCAACGAAGUGCGAAAAAUACUGAUCAAAUCAGUCAGUAGCUCUCCCAGCAAAGUCAGUUCCAGCCAGACAGAUUCUCAGAUGUUGCCAGCAAAAUCAACAAUUUCCUUAAGGCAUACAGAUAUAACUGCUUUUGAAAUCGUUGGAUCAAUUACAAAUGACAUGAAGAGCCUUUUCCCACCCACAGAGUCUUCUACUACUCUAUGGCAGGCAGACUCUAUGCUUCAACAGAGUGAUGAGAAAACCUCAGAGUACACUGAGGCCACACCCAAAGGCUCACAGUCUGGUUUGGAAGUAUCUGAGAAGAAGAUCUGGACAACUGCAAAGACUAUUUACCACAAUGUGAAGACAAAGAUGAGGAAUUAUUUUACAUGGCAAAAUCAAGUCAAAGCAACAACGGCUCAAGCCAAAAAGACCCUCAGCCAUAUUCUGGUUUCAAUUCAGAAAGAGCUGUCAAAAUCUGACCAAACGGUGACUGCGCUUUCACAAAUAGAGAAUGUGGUUGGAAUGAUGCUGAAGGAUGUUGAAAGGGUAAGCAGUGAAUGUGGUGAGGAACUGAUCUAUCAAGCGCCACAGCGUUCUUCCUCCUCGUUGUCAUCCUCAUCUGCCAGAUCAAAGAAGUCAGAGUGGGAAUUUUCACUCCCUGGCACUCCCAUCUCUUCUGAUUUACCAGAGUGUAUUACUCAGCCCAUUGUGAGAUGCUCAGUCAUCGACAUGGGCAAAUCUACUAAGCCAAAAACAUUGGUGUGUGAUGCCAGGGAAAGCAUGUCUGCAAUAGUGGAUACCAUCAUAAAGGAGGUACAUCCAGAGGAAGAAGGGGAGGUUGCAUUCCACCCUGAUCUAACAGUUGCAAUAGCAAGACUGGAGGAGCUCAUAUCUCAGGGUAGGAUUGGUGCUCUCUCACGUGAUCUUACUCACCAAGUCAACCGCAUCAUUUCUGAGAGCAACUUGACCCCUCUGGUUCUGACAGUGGCGGCUGGAAAGAGUGCAUCCGAUACAGUCCUUACUGAGCUGAAGAGGAAUGACAAGACGGUGGGGAAGCCCACAGCUUACAAGCUGGUUCAGCUUUUUGCAGAGGAGUCUGUGAAGCGCCUCUUGCUUCCUAGCCUUGUGCCCUCUACAGCUUCAAUGAGUUUGGCUCAGGGAGUUAGUGUGCCGGCUAGCGUAUCUGAAGAUAGGAUUUCAUGUUCUUUUUCUACAUCAGCAUUUAGUGACACAGUCAGCCUGUUUACCAAAGUAAUGGUAAGCCAGGUCAUGGACUCUGUGGUUUCUGAUGCACAAAGCAGAGGGUCAUCUCCAACCGGAACUGUAACUGAUAUAGGCAGUCUACUGAGUGGUAAGUCCUACCCUCUGCCAUCUUUCUCCGCCAUCAGCAUGACAACAAGUGGGACCUCCAAUGCUGCACGAGGCUUUGAGGCCAACAUAGAUGCUGAGGAAAGGGAUACCAUCAGUUGUUUCGGUGUACCUCAGAGCAUUGUUUGUGAUCAGAAUUCAACCAGCCCGGAUGUUGCCUCGCUUUCAACCCCAUCCACUGACAACUUAGUCGGUGAUGAUGACUUCACCGGCCUCAUCAGCAUGUUAGUGGUGAGACUUCUGUCAAAAAUCCAAACCCAAACUGAUCUGUACCCAACUGACGUCACACGCACGUCACAAGACCUGAUUCCAAAAGUUAUAGCUGCCUUCUGUGCAUGGUCAGGCUGCUCUGAGACCCAAGCUUAUCCCAAGAACCUGAAGAGUCACAAAGUAUACAGCACCGUCUACAAACAUCUGUUGAAGGAGUUUGGCUCAGAGAAAAUACUCCAACUGGCCGUGUCGACUCAGGACUCCACAUUCAAUAGGAUUCUUGUGAAGUCAUUGAGCAAGGAGCUUCUCCACAGUUGUAACGAGGCAUCAAGAGCAGCCUCAAGAACAUCUUUCGAAGCCACCAGGCCAGAAGCUCUUCUCAUGGCUGAAGAUGUGAAGGCUACCAGAGGGAAGCUGUCUUUCCUACAAAGGCUUGCCAGACUGAAAUUCGACUUAAAGCCAUUCAUGAUGGGAAACAAGAAGGAUUCCAAGAAGAAUUCCCGCCAUUCUGAAUCCAAAGACCAGACUACUGCUGAAGAUAUCAUAUUGGCACAUCCUGGACUCCCAGAGGGUCUUCCCUCCACCUCUCAACAGGAGAAGCCUCGCAAACGUCCCCUUCUAAUCAGGAUGUUUUCCACCAUCUCCAUAGGCCUAUCCAAGCCAUUCAAACGGUUUUCAAAGCAAGCUUAAUACAACAAUUUCCUUUAAUACAGUAAUAUUUGCAUUGAAUUGAUGGCCUUUGUCUUCUUUUGUGUUGCCCUGUUAACACAUUUGAUUAGAAAAUACAUAGUAUAUUUAGUUUAGUUUAUUAUGCAGUCAUAGUCACGGUGUAGGCUAAACAAAGUAAUGUUGUCCUGAAUAAUGUAUAUAACAUGCACCCCCCACCCACCCACCCACACAAAGUGUGAUUCAUUGAACACACACACAUAGUACUUCAGAUAUGUCCCACAACCAACAUUCAACCAGAUAUCAAUGAUUCAGUGUAAAAUACAUGUACUGUAAAAUAAACCGUAUUUAAUUUACAACCAAUAAAAUUAUACAUGAUGCAGGACACUCAGUUAUAAGGGAAUUAAUUGGUUUAACUUCUCAAACAGAAAGACACACUGUAACUGACAGUUAGACUUACAGGUUAUGUCGUUGUCUUUUGUUUGAAUUGUUUACGUAUCCGCUGUGCGGGGGAAAUGAUAAUACAAUCGGAACUACGUAGCCAAUACUGUUGUAACGGGGAUCCUUAUUGUAGCAACACACUUUUGGAGGGAAGGAAAUCCUGCGCUGCGUUAGCUAAGUUUUCAUGUCAUCGGGUGUAGUUCAUAAAGGUUGAAGAGUGUAUGUUAGGAUGAAGUGUGAAUUCAUGCCAGGAAUAAUAAGUGUGAAGUUUGAUUUCCUCCCUUCUGUAAUAAGCAGCCAAUGAGGUAUUUUUUCCUUUAUUCAUGUGUUUAAUCUGAACCCGUAAUAACGCCGGUUAAACUGUUAUGUAUGUAAGCACUUCAGAGUUAUACCAAGCUAAUAAGUCACUCGUAAGAUAAGGUUGUAAGAGUGUGCUUAACUGUAUUUUUAAUUUACUUUAUAAUUCUCACGGAAGGUGAUAAUUCUGACUAAAACUACAGAAUAAAGCCGCCAGUUAAAAUCAAGGAACGGUUGUGCUCGUGGUUACUGAAGGGAGCUACAGUGAGAACUCAAUGCUCUUCACGAGCAAGAGAGAAAGAAGAAUCUCAUCCAGCUGUAAAACGUCUACAUGAUUCCCAAAUCCUGGUAGACCCAGUCAUCUGCCAGAUAAGAGUUUUGCACCUACCUGCAAACUAAGAAGAAAAUCUCCACAUAAGGAAGCAUCGUGAGGCAACAUAAGGUCAAGACUAACAGGAAAGUCAGACACGCAAGUACAAGUCAAGGUGUUUGGAGGUGGUCCUAGCCUUGUGAACAGCUAAUAAGAGACUUUAAGAUUACAAUUCGUAAGGACUGGAGAUAGUUGUCUAUUUCAUAAAGACUCUGGUAUUAUGCAUUUGCUCUUUCUAUCUUAAUGUAUCGCUGGUAUGUGUAUUACUGGAAAAAUAUUAUUUGAUACUUACUAAAAAUAUAUAUAUAGUUACAAACAUUAAGGGUCAGCGUACACCUAUUAAUUCUAUUUUCACCUGUAAGUUAAUAGUGUAAUUGUUUGGGAAGGUGUUUGUUCAAGCCUUUGUUACAAGCAUUAUACAUGUUUAUACCACGUACUAAGGUUUAAAUUACAGUGAAUUGGAGUAUAAAUUAUCUACUCACUUAUCCAAACCUUACCUAGAUUUGAUUUGAUUUGAUUUAAAAUGUCAGAAAGAGGUAGUUUCACUAAAGUUGAUAGAGAUGGGGUGGGUCAAGUUGAGCAGCAGCUGCAACACCUCGCAAACUUCAGGCCUUCAUCAGAACAAACAGAGCAGCAGGAAGAGACCCAGACUGGUGUGGAGUCAUGGCUGCCAGCGAAUGAUGAUACAGAGGCUGCUAAUGAGACAUCACAACAUGAGCCACGAAAAGGUGAGAGGGUCCGCAGGUUAACUGAAAAGGGCAGAGAACUGCGCAACGAAAGGUGGAGACAGCUCAAACAUCAUUUCAGGGUCAGCUAUGAGAAGUGGAAGGCUCUGGUAAAGGAAGCAAAACUGUCACUGACAGCCUGUUGCUCUGAAGAUCUACUAGAAGACCUCUUAAACAAGAUUAGCCAUACCUCUACAGAGCUAAACCUUGUCUAUGUAAAUGUGCGUCAAAUCUACAUACCCGACAACAAUAUACGCCGCAGAGUUGAUACUUGUGAAGCAGUUACAAUGUCUAUUAUCAAGACUGUAAGGUGUCAUUUAAAAGGCAGGGAAGAAGGUCAAAGUAACCAGAUAAAGCUGCACUGGAAGGACAGCAAUUCCUUGUGCAUGUCCGAACUCUCACAUAAGUCAAGUCUCAACUAUCAGCCCUCAAGUGCUUCCUCCCAGUCUCAAAGCAAUUCAAAGGUCAACUCCAGAUGCUCAAGCGUGUCAUCUGUCAAGAGACAAGAGGCUGCGGCGGAAGUUGCUGCUAACCAAGCAGCUUUAGAAGUAAUGGUUAAGCAAGAACGCCAACUAGAAGAGCUUCAGAGACUUGAAGAUGAAGAUAAGAAGAGGACAGCUGAGCAAGAAGCCGAGGCUGUGAAACGCAGCUUAGAAGAAGCUAGGCUGCGAGUCAAGUUAGAGGUAGAAAAUGCUGCCAGACGAAGGACGCUAGAAGACAAGCAUAGAGAGUUAGAGCGCCUAGAAGUGCUCAAGAAACUAAAUGCUGCCAAGGCGCGGAUGCAAGUGUAUGAGCAAGAUGAAAACUCAGAGGACGAGAAGAGAGAACUACUCUCUAACUGCAAAUCUGUGAAAGAAAUCGUGCACAGAAGUGGCUCAUUUCACAGUCUCUCACCACAACAUGUUGUGACAAACACACAACAAGAAGAUGGCACCAAGACCAUGUUCAGGUUACUAGCGGAAUCAAUCAGUGAAAGCCGCCUCCCCAUACCAGAACCAGUAACAUUCAAUGGAGAGCCUCUCUCAUACACUGACUGGAUGGUCUCUUUUCAGACUCUGAUAGACAGGAAGAACAUACCAGCAACUGAGAAGAUAUAUUACUUAAGAAAAUAUGUCGGUGGGCCUGCCAAGAAAGCCAUCGAAAGUUACUUUAUGUUAGGAACAGAAUCAGCCUACCAUGCUGCUUGGACCAUUCUUGAAGAAAGGUACGGAAACAAAUUCUUCAUCGCCAAGUCUUUCAGAGAUAAGCUCAAUGCAUGGCCUACGAUAGGAUCCAAGGACAGUCUUGAACUUAGAGACCUUGUAGACUUUCUUCGCAGCUGUGAAGCUGCUAUGUCUCAGAAUAAGGGCCUGGAGGUGCUUAAUGACUGUAAUGAAAACCAAAAGAUCCUCACUAAAAACUUCCAGAUUGGCUAACUUCAAGAUGGAAUAGAAAGGUCACAGACAUCUUAGAAGAAACUGAGAUCUUUCCUAGCUUCAGUCAGUUUGUGAAGUUUCUCACGAGAGAAGCCAAGAUUGCUUGCAAUCCUGUAACAUCCCUUCAUGCUUUGAAACCAAGUGAAGAUGGAAAACUUAAGACGCCAAGGAUUCAAAGCCCCGGAGCAAGGGUAUUAGCAACUAACUCUGAUGAGAAAGAUACUGUUACUAGUUGUGUCUUCUGUGAGAAGUCAGGUCACAGUCUCCACAAAUGCUGGAAGUUCAUGGAUAAGCCCACCGCAGAGCGACAGAACUCUGUUCAAGAGAAUAAAUUGUGCUUUGGCUGUUUAAGGCCUGGGCAUCGCUCGAAAGAUUGUGAUAACAGGAACACCUGCGACACGUGUCAGAGGAGGCAUCCAUCCUGCCUGCACGAAGAUCGUACUGAAGAAAGGUUCAGGGAUAGGAAGACAGAGCCCCCACGAGAUAAGGGGACAAGAGCGUCAAGUGAGGCCAUAUCUAACAGAGUCGUAAGGGACAUUAACAACACUCACACCUCCACAAUCAUUCCAGUAUGGGUGUCAACCACAAGUGAGCCAGAUCGUGAAGUUCUUGUGUAUGCACUUCUUGACACCCAGAGCGACACCACCUUUAUCCUUGAAGAGACAACAAAGGCUCUCAAUACAAGGAAGGAGCCAGUCCAACUGAAACUCUCUACAAUGGCUUCAAGGAAUACCAUUGUGCCCUGCCAGAAGCUGUCUGGUUUGCAGGUUAGAGGGUUUUACUUGGAGAAGAAAAUCCCUCUGCCAACGACCUACUCGAGAGAGUUUAUUCCUGCAAACAGAGAUCAUAUUCCUACUCCAGAGACUGCAAGAGCAUGGUCUCAUCUUGAACACAUUGCAGAGGAGAUUGCUCCUCAACAGAGCUGUGAUGUCGGUCUCUUAAUUGGCUACAACUGCUCCCAGGCUCUCCUUCCAAGAGAAAUUGUGUCUGGUAAGGGAAAUCAGCCUUUUGCUCAGAGAACAGAUCUUGGCUGGAGCAUAGUCGGCUAUGGAAAUCCAUGUAUCGACUAUGGCGACGCUAUUGGAGUGAGUCAUCGGGUUAUCGUUAGACAGGUGAUGCCAAGCCUUCAAUCUUCUUUCAACCUCACAAAUCAAGUACACUAUGUUUGUAGAACACGUGUAAGAGAGGUAAUCACAGCACUGGACAUUAUCAAGACGCUUGAAUCUGACUUCAACAAGAGAGCUGCAGAAGAGGACCUCAUAUCUCAAGAGGAUAUCCGGUUCCUGACGAAAAUGAAAGUGGGCAUCAGACGCAAGGACAAUGGACAUUAUGAGAUGCCGCUGCCGUUUAAGGAAGAAAGACCCAACCUGCCGAACAAUAAAACAUGUGCAGUUCACCGUCUCAAGUGCCUGGAAAGGAGGCUAAGGAGAGACAAGCAGUACUACAAGGACUACACAGCAUUCAUGGAAGAGACCAUAGCUUGUGGAGAUGCUGAGAAGGUCUCCAAAGAGGAAGUUAACCAGCAUCCAGCAUGGUACAUCCCGCACCAUGGGGUUUAUCACCCACAAAAGCCUGGGAAGAUACGCGUCGUCUGCGACUGCUCAGCUAAGUUUCGAGAGACGUCCUUGAAUGACCAUCUCCUUACUGGUCCAGAGUUGACAAACACAUUGCUGGGUGUCCUUUGUCGUUUUUGUAAGGGUCCAGUUGCAAUCAUGUGUGACGUAGAGCGCAUGUUCCACCAGUUUCAUGGGAAAGCAGAAGACCAAGAUUAUCUACGGUUCCUUUGGUGGGAGAACGGAGAUCUAGAGUCUCAACCCUCAGUGUAUCGUAUGAAGGCCCACUUGUUCGGCGCAGCUUCAUCUCCUGGUUGCGCCAACUAUGGUCUCAAACAUCUUGCUGCCGAAGGACGAGGAAGCUUCAGCGAGAAGUCUAUCCAGUUCAUAGAAAGGAACUUUUAUGUUGAUGAUGGGUUGACGAGCGUAUCGUCUGAAGCUGAGGCGGCCCAGCUGGUGAAAGAAGCAAGAGAGCUUUGCAGCAUCGGCAAACUUCGGUUGCACAAGUUUAUCUCUAACAGCAAGGAAGUUAUAGCCACAGUUCCCAAGGAAGAAUGUGCCGAGGGUGCCAAAGACCUGGAUAUGGCUCUGGGUGAACCACACAUGGAGAGAGCGCUUGGUGUACUGUGGUGUGUCGCAUCAGACGAGUUCCAGUUUAGAGUAGUUGUCAAGGAACGCUCACUCACAAGAAGAGGAGUGUUGUCUACUGUAGCCUCUGUAUAUGAUCCGCUUGGGUUUGUGGCAACCUUUGUCCUGGCAGGGAAGCAGAUCUUGCAGCGGAUGUGUCGUGACAAAAUCGACUGGGAUGACCCCCUUCCAGAUGACCUACAUUCCCAGUGGGAAUUCUGGCUCCAAGGUCUACAAAACUUGUCUGAAGUAAUGAUCCAACGAGGUUACUUGCCAUCAAGUUUCAAGGAGGUGCAGAGUUAUGAGCUCCAUCACUUCUCCGACGCUAGUACCUCAUGUUAUGGAGAGUGCUCAUACCUCAGAACAAUCAACACUGACAGAAAUGGAAUAAAGACAGAAGAAACGCAAGGAUUAAUGACAUUGUCAUUUUGCAAGAUGAUACUGCACCACGCAACCAGUGGAAAUUGGCAAAGGUUACAGAAGUAUACCCGGGACAGGAUGGUCGGGUGAGAAGAUUCAAGUUACUGAUCAGCGACUCAACCCUAGAUGAGAGAGGUAAACGCAUCACCAAACCCACCUAUCUGGAGAGGCCCAUCCAUAAGACAGUCACCCUCCUGGAAGCCGAUUAAGAAACCUGCAGACCCCUUUCACAGAAAUCACCGGUGAUUGGUGGGAGUGUAACUGACAGUUAGACUUACAGGUUAUGUCGUUGUCUUUUGUUUGAAUUGUUUACGUAUCCGCUGUGUGGGGGAAAUUAUAAUACAAUCGGAACUACGUAGCUAAUACUGAUUUCCUCCCUUCUGUAAUAAGCAGCCAAUGAGCUUUUACCUUCGACAUCAACAAGCGGCGCACGGGCUGGUCCUGCAGACUCCCACGCCCAUGGCCCAGGAGAAGGCAGGGGGCCACCUGCUCACUCACGUCCCAGCCAUCUCCUUUGAGACCGACUCUACUGUGGAGUGCACCUCCAAGAGGACUCCGGAAGAGGGACCGGGUGAAGGUUAAACUGGCCAACAUGGCCUUGAUGGGAAGGAUCAAAAAGUCUUGGCUGUGAAAUGCCCAUUAUGUGUGAUUAUCGAAUUUAUCAUUUUCCACUUUUGAAACAACAAUGGGAAAGACAGGGUUUAUAGCAAAGGUUGCUCAGAUUGGGCUUUUGGAAAAAUUGGGAGAAUGAAAGUGCACUCCUGAUUCAGAGAGAAAGAUCCAGCUUAAUCAUCCAUACCAUUGUUUAAAUUACAAUUUAAAAAACAUUCAAACUGUUCCUGAGUUUCGAAAGACAGAGAAAGGAAAACAUCCUUAUCUUCAGGCUGUUCACACCUGUUCACACAAGUCCUACUGUCCACAAUCUCAGGGUUCUUCAAUACAAACACACCUGUUUCAGAAAACCUGAUCACUUUCACAUUCGAACAAUGUUUGUAGGAUACUUUUCAAUAACUCAAUAAAUGUAAGUGUUGAAACCAUACAUAGCUGGUAACUUGAGCUGGACAGAGUACUUGAGCUCGACAGAGUAGUUUUGACCUGUGUCCAGGUCAGUAUUGGAAUAGUGACUUGUAUUUUGCAUCUAGAAGUGUAAGAAUUUUAGAAGAAUGCUAUUUCAUCAGUCAAAUGUUGCACUGUUUGAUAAGACAGUGUAAAGAAAACCUCCAUUUUAAUGAGUUUAGUUGUGAGUUUGACAUUUUACCACAAGAAGUUACUAUAAUACUAUACGUUAUCAAACAGGGUUGUGCUGAAAAUCAAAUGAACCACAGCCAAAUUAAUUAUUUGCAACUAAGAGUAAGAUUAAAAAAGACAUGUAUAACUUACUUUCUUGAUAAAAUACAUUGUAAAAUGUAAAUAUAUGUGAUUUCUGAGUAUGUAGUGCACAUAUCUUUUUAAGGCCCAAAGCAGACGUUUUUAUAUCAAUAUCAAAUCAUUUCUGGGUAACAAUUAAGUACCUUACUGUAAUAGAUUACGAUGAAAAUUGUCAAAAAUAAAUUUUUUGCAAAAACAACUUUAUCAAGCAUAAAUUUUGCUAGGACUGUCUGGGAGUGGUCAGUGUGGAGGGGAAAUUAAAACUAGCUAUUAUUGGCACUCUCUUUGUCGUUGGUCUAUAAACCAAUUUACACAUGGUGAUGUCACCAUGGAAAGCCAAAACUCUCGCCCAUGCAAACCUGCUGAUUAGAAGGUGCUGUGUAGAUGUGAGAAACUCUCUUUUCAUAUGGCACUUCAAUAUCGAAGUGAAUUUUUUGUAGCAGGUUAGGAAUCUGAGGUUAAGGUUAGGAAAAGGGUUAGGGUUAGUGAAAAUGCUCUCCAAACCUUCUACGAAAAUGACUUUGCAUUGAAGUGCUGUGAAAAGAAUGUGUCCCUGCUCAGGUGUUGCAUGCAUCAACCAAUGGUUGUGUGCCAAGUCAUCCAUUGUGUCAUCGACUGACAGAUUGCUAUAACAUAUGAUGUGGUUAGCUGACACACAAAAUACCUAUCCAGGCAGUGUAAGAUCUGGCAAAUGUCAGCAAGGCCUGGGCAGAGGAACAUGCUCCGUAUUUUCAACCAGAACUAUCAGGAAGCAACCCCGAUCACAUUUUUGUAAAACACAUUUACAGUGUUAGUUUCAUCAGCUGUUGUACAAUAUGAAAUACAAUUAUUUUGACUUCACAGGGCCUUUAAAUGUAGGCAAACAAGUUUUCAGCAUUCAAACUAAUCUACCCAGCCAGAUUCAGCACCAUGGACAGUGAAGAUCAGAAUACCUGCGAUCUGACGAUUAGAACAACAGUGCUAUUUUAAGUGAUUUUCAAGACACCCAAAGUCAAUUUAAAUCCACAACAAAAUCUGCAUGAUAAAAAGCAAUAGAAUCAAACAUUUAAAUAAGUAAACAGGCUAUAUUAUUGAAGUGCACUAAACAUAGAGACAUAUUAACCAUGGAGAACACGAAACAUGAUGACAGAUUAACCAGGGAAGUGAAUUUAACAGAGGUUAAAGCUAAAACAGCAGAAUCUGGGUACGUCUGUGUGAAGAGGUGUGGCUUUAGUGUGGAUUUGAAUAGUACACAAGUAGGCCUACGCUAUUUUUGGCCUAACUUUUUUUUAAGUGUUAUGUUUUCCCAGAUUCAUAGUGUUAUGCAGCCCAGGCCUAUCUAGGAAGGCUGGGCAUAAAUAGUUUGCUCACAGCAUCACAUGAUGACGUGGGCAACAUAAACACUUAAACUCUGUGGAUUAAAGUUAAUAGUAAUCAAAACUAAUUUCACCACGAAAGGAAGUGCAAUCGAAAUGAAUGAAGAAGACACGGUAAUUCUAGUGAGUUAAUAAAAUGACAAGGUGUUGCCUGUCAGCGUUGUAGACUACUGCCUCACAAGCCCGGGCUUUAGUGGCACUUGCAUACGCGCUUGCCUCUGCACUGAAGGAGCCACCGAACGCGUCCGCGCUGCAGCUCUCACUUUCUCCCGCUACAGUAUGUCCUACAAUGACAUAUUUGGUGGGGAUUGGCAGCCAACAAUAGGAUUGGAUUGGGACUAAAUCAAAGAAUAAAACGAUAUUGAAAUGAAUAUAAUUAGGUUGUAAUAAUUAGGUUAUUAGGUUGUUAAUUAAUUAUUAACAACCUAAGGCUGACUAGGACAGAUCAAUAAACUUGAUCCGACACAGUAAGCCUACAUGUCAUACGUAAGUAAACCCACAAGAGAGACAAUAUUGCAAAGGCAGGACCAUGUUCGAUGGAAGGCGUAGGGGUAGGCAAUCGAAAACGUUUGACGGGGAAUUUUCUGUCAAUAUUAGCUAGUCCUACUGAGUGGGCAAGUAACCUUUCCCUUCCUAAAAAUACUAUUUGUGAUGUCAUAAAGGUCUACGUUCCAUGACGUAGCAUGUAGCCCUAAAUUACAGUCCCUGCCUGCAAUAUUGUCCUCACUCUCGACCUGAACUCAAGUUGAAUGUAACCAACACAGACAAGGACAUGCUUUUUGAGAUAUAAAAUAGCUUGAAUGGAUGAAGAAAAGGUAAGCUAAAUGACUUCAUACAAUAUUGGGGGAAAGUAAAAUAGGGUAAAGCAAUCUAAGCGGAUAUUUCUUGUAAAAAGCUAUAACAUAUUGUAAAGCAAAUGUACCAUUCUUUAUAAAGUCACCAGCUUAGCUCUGAUAUGGCUGUAGCUCUAUUUAUGAUGUCCUCUGCACAGAUCUACUCUGACAUUGACAUAUUAUUACUUAUUGGAAUGUCUGUCCUUCAGGUAGCACAGAGGGAGGAUGGUGAUCCUCAGAGGGAAGGAAAGGAAGUUGUUGAGGAAGAACCGGUGGCCACGCCCAAAGAGGAGGCCAAGAAGGGAAGGAAGGCAAAAAGGAAGAGGAGUGGCAAGAAGUCAAGGAAGCUGGGCACUGACAACGAUGCAGGUCAGAGAUUUACCUCUGUAGUACUACAUUGUUUCUCUAUUCUGUCUGUGAUGUG